rnacentral:rRNA from 1 species
AACGAACGCUGGCGGCAUGCCUAACACAUGCAAGUCGAACGAGACCUUCGGAUCUAGUGGCGCACGGGUGCUUACGGCGUGGGAACCUGCCCUUAGGUUCGGUAUAUGUCACCGGGAGAGAACCUAAUGACGCAUAAUGUCUUCGGACCAAAGAUUUAUCGUCUUUGGAUGGGCCCGCGUUGGAUUAGCUAGUUGGUAGAGUAAAAGCCUACGAAGGCGACGAUCCAUAGCUGGUCUGAGAGGAUGAUCAGCCACACUGGGAGUGGGACACGGCCCAGACGCCUACGGGAGGCAGCAGUGGGGAAUAUGGGACGAUGGGCGAGAGCCUGAUCCAGCAAUGCCGCGUGAGUGAUGUAGGCCUUAGGGUUGUAAAGCUCUUUUACCCGGGAGGAUAAUGACGGUACCGGGAGAAUAAGCUCCGGCUAACUCCGUG